UAGAGCUGUGAACAUCUCGGUCGGUAUUCGCGUACUACGCUACACUCAGGAAUUCUCGACUGUGGUUGGCGGAUGGAUGCUCGAUGCUCCUCGGCGAUAAACCGUUCAGUGAAACGAGGUGAAACGGGAUACCUGUUUGCAAUAAAGAAAAAAAAAGGAAAAAACAAAGAAAAGUUACGAUCGGUUAUCACCGGAUACAUCAGGAAGUAUGAUCGAUACGGAAGAGACGAUGGUAAUGUAGAUCCUAGUAUGGUUAUAGCUUUUUUGUCGUCUUGGAAAACGAAGCCAGAGGGCGUUGAAUAAAUAAUACAAAAUAAUAUAUAAAAAAAGAUAAACGUCCCGAACCCGGUGUAAGUAUUUUACGAGGUAUCGUUUUUACUACCUUAGUACAUUCUUCGGGCUGGAUCUGUUGGAAUGGAGGUACCUUGUGAUUUGGAUGAAGUAAUCUAAAAAUAUAUAUAUAGCGUGAUAACAUCUUUCUGGAUUAUCGAGAAGACAGAUUGAGGAAAGUCACAGCGAGUCAGUGACAUCUUAAGCACGUCAUGGAAAUAUUUGUGAGUCUGCCAACUGUAAGCGAGUUAAGACUUUGGGGAUUUACUCGUAAUCUCCCGUUCGAGUGGGAAAACCUCCCUUAUCUUGGUAUCCCUUACGUAAUCUUCCUUUCUUGCUUUUUUUCUGUAGUAGGAGUAAGAAGAGUACGGAGAAUCUUAGAGAGAGGUGGAUGAGGGUGUUGCUGAAGAAAAUUGCAUUUUUUGAGAGAAGGAAGUGUAGGUGGUUUUAAAAAAAAAUGAGAAUAGUCCGGAAGUAAAAUGGCGGAUCGUUGAGUCUAAUGGAGUAUGGACAAUCCACGAUUCGAAAUGAAACGUUAUUGCUGGUUUUGCGGUCGAAAACUUAAAGAGGGUGGAUUCGAUGUUUUUUUUUUUGUACGAAGAUAAAAAGGAACAAGGGUGCAGAAGAUAAUGUGGAUGCGGGGCAACAGUGCGAGAAAUAGAGGAAGUCCGGAAAGUCUCACUAGCGAAUACGUGUCGCCGUCUUGUCGCCCCCUAAGUUUUACUAGACUCUUUGCAUGCAAAUCGGCGACUCCUUGCGGCCGGAAGUGUAGCGCUGGUGUAGCAAAAGAUAAUGCAAUGAAUUUUUUGCGUUAUGGAUAAUAAGUAUUUUGAAUUGAGAUGAAUUUAAAAGCUACUGUUAUAAAUUAUUUCAAAAAUUGGAAAUAUUGUAUCGGCGAUA